UGUGGAACCAUAAUAUCAGUUGGAGCUCCAGGUAUCUCUCCAACAGUCUUGGAAGCACCAGCAAAGUGUUUACGAGGUCGAAGGUAAUGCACCUUGCUAGGAUUCACUAUUGAAUGAUUGUGAUCCUCAACGAAUUUAGUCACAACCCAACCAUCUGAACUCUUCCUCUCUAUCCGAAGCAUAGCAUUGCAACUCUCUGUAUUCUUCCUUCUGAGAAUUUCUUUAGAACAAGAGAAGUCCCAACUAAUGAUAGGUCCAUCAGGCUUAGCGCGGCUGUACUGACCAACAUGUAUGCUAAAGCCCACACGCCUAGCAUAUGCGUCAAAAAAAUUCUUUGCUGCUUCUUCUGUUUGAAACUCCAUCCCCACAUAUGGCUUCUCU
rnacentral:misc_RNA from 1 species